AUUGAACGCUGGCGGCAUGCUUUGCACAUGCAAGUCGAACGGUAACAGGCCGCAAGGUGCUGACGAGUGGCGAACGGGUGAGUAAUGCAUCGGAACGUGCCCAGUCGUGGGGGAUAACGCAGCGAAAGCUGUGCUAAUACCGCAUACGAUCUGUGGAUGAAAGCGGGGGACCUUCGGGCCUCGCGCGAUUGGAGCGGCCGAUGUCAGAUUAGGUAGUUGGUGGGGUAAAGGCUCACCAAGCCGACGAUCUGUAGCUGGUCUGAGAGGACGACCCGCCACACUGGGACUGAGAGACGGCCCAGACUCCUACGGGAGGCAGCAGUGGGGAAUUUUGGACAAUGGGCGCAAGCCUGAUCCAGCAAUGCCGCGUGCAGGAGGAAGGCCUUCGGGUUGUAAACUGCUUUUGUACGGAGCGAAAAGGCUCCCUCUAAUACAGGGGGCUCAUGACGGUACCGUAAGAAUAAGCACCGGCUAACUACGUGCCAGCCGCCGCAGUAACAC
rnacentral:rRNA from 1 species